rnacentral:rRNA from 1 species
GAUGAACGCUGGCGGCGUGCCUAAUACAUGCAAGUCGAGCGAACAGAUGAGGAGCUUGCUCCUCUGACGUUAGCGGCGGACGGGUGAGUAACACGUGGAUAACCUACCUAUAAGACUGGGAUAACUUCGGGAAACCGGAGCUAAUACCGGAUAAUAUAUUGAACCGCAUGGUUCAAUAGUGAAAGACGGUUUUGCUGUCACUUAUAGAUGGAUCCGCGCCGCAUUAGCUAGUUGGUAAGGUAACGGCUUACCAAGGCAACGAUGCGUAGCCGACCUGAGAGGGGGAUCGGCCACACUGGAACUGAGACACGGUCCAGACUCCUACGGGAGGCAGCAGUAGGGAAUCUUCCGCAAUGGGCGAAAGUCUGACGGAGCAACGCCGCGUGAGUGAUGAAGGUCUUCGGAUCGUAAAACUCUGUUAUUAGGGAAGAACAAAUGUGUAAGUAACUAUGCACGUCUUGACGGUACCUAAUCAGAAAGCCACGGCUAACUACGUG